rnacentral:rRNA from 1 species
UGAGGAAUAUUGGUCAAUGGAGGAAACUCUGAACCAGCCACGUCGCGUGAAGGAAGACUGACCUUACGGUUUGUAAACUUCUUUUGUAGAGGGGUAAUGGCAGAUACGUGUAUUUGCGUGAAAGUACUCUACGAAUAAGCAUCGGCUAACUCCGUGCCAGCAGCCGCGGUAAUACGGGGGAUGCGAGCGUUAUCCGGAAUUAUUGGGUUUAAAGGGUGCGCAGGUGGCUAAUCAGGUCAGUGGUGAAAAGCUAUGGCUCAACCAUGGUCUUGCCAUUGAAACCGUAUAGCUAGAGAGGAGACGAGGUAGGCGGAAUGUGUGGUGUAGCGGUGAAAUGCAUAGAUAUCACACAGAACUCCGAUUGCGAAGGCAGCUUACCAGGCUUUAUCUGACACUUAGGCACGACAGCGUGGGGAUCAAACAGG